rnacentral:rRNA from 1 species
CAUCCUCCAAGGCUAAAUACUCCUGACUGACCGAUAGUGAACCAGUACCGUGAGGGAAAGGCGAAAAGAACCCCGGCGAGGGGAGUGAAAAAGAACCUGAAACCGUGUACGUACAAGCAGUGGGAGCACCCUUCGGGGUGUGACUGCGUACCUUUUGUAUAAUGGGUCAGCGACUUAUAUUCUGUAGCAAGGUUAACCGCAUAGGGGAGCCGAAGGGAAACCGAGUCUUAACUGGGCGUUAAGUUGCAGGGUAUAGACCCGAAACCCGGUGAUCUAGCCAUGGGCAGGUUGAAGGUUGGGUAACACUAACUGGAGGACCGAACCGAC